UUUCCGUAGGUGAACCUGCGGAAGGAUCAUUAUUGUAUAACCGAGGUGCGAGGGCUGUCGCUGACCCGAAAGGUCGUGCACGCCCGAGUGCCCUCACACACAUCCAUCUCACCCCUAUGUGCACCACCGCGUGGGUUCCCCUUUGGCUUGUUCGGAGGGGGGCUUACGUUUUCACACAAACUUUGUAUGCAGUGUAGAAUGUAUUUUUUGUUUUUGCGAUCACGCAAUCAAUACAACUUUCAACAACGGAUCUCUUGGCUCUCGCAUCGAUGAAGACGCAGC
rnacentral:misc_RNA from 1 species